ACUCGCCACUACUACGCCGAUGUAUUUUCUUAAGCUUUUUAAAAAGAUAGCAAAUGGCAAAAAAUACACCACGACGACGAGAAUGGUUUCGAGAAGAGCGAGAAGGCGAACAAAACGAAACUGCCCACGUAAUGGUAUAAUAGGAAAAACAAAUAACAAUUCUAUAUCGCGCGCAGUGGUGGGGCCGCGCUCUGUCUGUGUGCCGCUGCACCCAGAUAGGCGCGAUGUGGAUGCAAUUUCGGCACCCCAAAUAUGUCGAUGUGUCGGUGUGACAGGUGAUGAGUUGAAUGACCUACCACUCUAGGGAGCGAGCGAGAAAGAGAGAGGAGAAUAUGAAAAAAAAUCGCCCAAAACAGCAGGCCAUGACAGUCGUAAAGCGGGGGUCGGGGCACCUACGGAAAUCCCAAAUGUUCGAAUCUGGUCUUGGUGUGAGUGAAAUUGCUGCUAUUCCUCCGACAAAGGAGGCGACGGUGGAUUACAACAAUGGCCGAUAAAAAUUGGCAGUACUACAGCCCCAGUUUGGUGCAGUUUGGUGAUAGUCGAAGCGAUUGAAAACUUUUGUGACAGUGAAAUCAUUUAUCAUACAUCAGUGAAAAUGAAUGACAUACGAUGGUGCACGGACAGUCGAACGAAAUUGGGUCAGCUCGGGAUGGAGAAAACCGUUCCUCAAUAUGGCUGAAUUGAGGAUAUUACACAAGAGAGUACGUGAGCGGAAUGAUUGACGCAUCCGGUAAAGCUUUUCGGGAUAUUGAAGAAAUAUCGAUAGAAUCGCUAGGAUCUUCCUAUUCCAAGCCCGAAAAUAAAUGUGAAAUAAUCGAAUUUUGGAUUGGUGAUGAAUAUUAGGCGAUAUUUCAAAGACCUGUUUUGCUAUUUGAUUCGUUCAGAAUUGAUUUUAAUACAAACAAAGCUCCGUAAAGCUCAUA